rnacentral:rRNA from 1 species
AGACCCGAAACCCGGUGAUCUAGCCAUGGGCAGGUUGAAGGUUGGGUAACACUAACUGGAGGACCGAACCGACUAAUGUUGAAAAAUUAGCGGAUGACCUGUGGCUGGGGGUGAAAGGCCAAUCAAACCGGGAGAUAGCUGGUUCUCCCCGAAAGCUAUUUAGGUAGCGCCUCGUGAAUUCAUCUCCGGGGGUAGAGCACUGUUUCGGCUAGGGGGCCAUCCCGGCUUACCAACCCGAUGCAAACUGCGAAUACCGGAGAAUGUUAUCACGGGAGACACACGGCGGGUGCUAACGUCCGUCGUGAAGAGGGAAACAACCCAGACCGCCAGCUAAGGUCCCAAAGUCAUGGUUAAGUGGGAAACGAUGUGGGAAGGCCCAGACAGCCAGGAUGUUGGCUUAGAAGCAGCCAUCAUUUAAAGAAAGCGUAAUAGCUCACUGGUCGAGUCGGCCUGCGCGGAAGAUGUAACGGGGCUAAACCAUGCACCGAAGCUGCGGCAGCGAACGUAUCACUUAAAGCGAUUCAGCGGGUUACGAUUGACGGAGCGAAGCGACGUCAAAGCGUAUACAAAGUCGAGUCGGUUUAAGGAUACGUUCGUUGGGUAGGGGAGCGUUCUGUAAGCCUGUGAAGGUGUGUCG